GUCACUGCAGGGACCACGUGAGGGUAAGGUGCAGCUGAUAGUCACUGCAGGGACCACGUGAGGGUAAGGUGCAGCUGAUAGUCACUGCAGGGACCACGUGAGGGUAAGGUGCAGCUGAUAGUCACUGCAGGGACCACGUGAGGGUAAGGUGCAGCUGAUAGUCACUGCAGGGACCACGUGAGGGUAAGGUGCAGCUGAUAGUCACUGCAGGGACCACGUGAGGGUAAGGUGCAGCUGAUAGUCACUGCAGGGACCACGUGAGGGUAAGGUGCAGCUGAUAGUCACUGCACGGACCACGCGAGGGUAAGGUGCAGCUGAUAGUCACUGCAGGGACCACGUGAGGGUAAAGUGCAGCUGAUAGUCACUGCACGCACCACGCAAGGGUAAGGUGCAUGUUGUAUGGAAAGAGCCUGCUUUGGUCCCACCUGGCUAUCUUACACCCGAAAUAAUCACACAGAAAUUGUAUUAAACACUGUCUGGCCCAUUAGCUCUAGCUUCCUAUUGGCUAACUCUCACAUCUUUUUUUUUUUAAUAUUUAUUUAUUAUGUAUACAAUAUUCUGUCUGUCUGUAUUCCUGCAGGCCAGAAGGGGGCACCAGACCCCAUUAUAGAUGGUUGUGAGCCACCAUGUGGUUGCUGGGAAUUGAACUCAGUACCUUUGGAAGAGCAGGCAAUGCUCUUAACUUCUGAGCCAUCUCUCCAGCCCCUAACUCUCACAUCCUGAUUCGACCCAUUUCUAAUAAUCUGUAUGUCACCACGAGGUCGUGGCUUACUGGGAAAGAUUAGCAUGUCUGACCUGGCAGCUCCAUGGCGGCUCUUUCUCUGCCCUUCUUCCCAGCAUCCAGUUCUGUCUACUCCACCUACCUAAGUGCUGCCCUAUCAAAAGGCCAAGGCAGUUUGUUUAUUCAACCAAUGAAAGCAACACAUAGACAGGAGAACUUCCUACACCAGGUGCACACUGGACAGAACAGGUGUUCUCCUGAGGAUACCGUAGAUACAAUCACCGCUCUCUUAAGGCAAAUGAUGAGGAAGAUAUAGGGAAGUCUGCUAAGAGAUGUGCAGUCUGCUUCUUUCACUUUCAGGAAGUCUGAAGACCCAUGCCUGACCUCUCUAGCCACAGAUACGACUCCUGGUCUUGUGUUCCUCAGAGAGACCGUUGCCUUUCUUGCUGUCUAGGAGCUCGUCCACCUUACAGUGCUUGGGUUUCGGGGUUCUUGUCCUCACUCCUUCGUUCACAGAGUGACAGGCUUCUUACAUUUUGCUUUUUUC